CACUGCUGAAGAGUCCCAUACUAGGACGAAACGGCCUUCCAGGGC
rnacentral:hammerhead_ribozyme from 1 species